GGGCAGCAGUGGGGAAUUUUGGACAAUGGGGGCAACCCUGAUCCAGCCAUUCCGCGUGAGUGAAGAAGGCCUUCGGGUUGUAAAGCUCUUUCGGCAGGAACGAAAAGGCGGGCUCUAAUACAGCCCGUCAAUGACGGUACCUGAAGAAGAAGCACCGGCUAACUACGUGCCAGCAGCCGCGGUAAUACGUAGGGUGCGAGCGUUAAUCGGAAUUACUGGGCGUAAAGCGUGCGCAGGCGGUUUUGUAAGACAGGUGUGAAAUCCCCGGGCUCAACCUGGGAACUGCGCUUGUGACUGCAAGACUUGAGUGCGGCAGAGGGGGGUGGAAUUCCACGUGUAGCAGUGAAAUGCGUAGAGAUGUGGAGGAACACCGAUGGCGAAGGCAGCCCCCUGGGUCGACACUGACGCUCAUGCACGAAAGCGUGGGUAGCAAACAGGAUUAGAUACCCCGGUAGUC
rnacentral:rRNA from 1 species